rnacentral:rRNA from 1 species
UACGAAGGGGGCUAGCGUUGUUCGGAAUCACUGGGCGUAAAGCGCACGUAGGCGGCUUUUUAAGUCAGGGGUGAAAUCCUGGAGCUCAACUCCAGAACUGCCUUUGAUACUGAGGAGCUUGAGUCCGGGGAGAGGUGAGUGGAACUGCGAGUGUAGAGGUGAAAUUCGUAGAUAUUCGCAAGAACACCAGUGGCGAAGGCGGCUCACUGGCCCGGUACUGACGCUGAGGUGCGAAAGCGUGGGGAGCAAACAGG